AGCGAACGCUGGCGGCAGGCCUAAUACAUGCAAGUCGAGCGGCCACUUCGGUGGCAGCGGCGGACGGGUGAGUAACGCGUGGGAAUAUGCCCUUUGGUACGGAACAACUGAGGGAAACUUCAGCUAAUACCGUAUGUGCCCUUCGGGGGGAAAGAUUUAUCGCCAUUGGAGUAGCCCGCGUUGGAUUAGGUAGUUGGUGA
rnacentral:rRNA from 1 species